rnacentral:rRNA from 1 species
GACGAACGCUGGCGGCGUGCUUAACACAUGCAAGUCGAACGGAAAGGCGCUGCUCUUGUGGGGUGCACGAGUGGCGAACGGGUGAGUAACACGCGAGUAACCCGCCCCUGACUAUGGGAGAACUUCAGGGAACUGGGGCUAAAACAGGAUAGGAGCUCCUGCUGCAUGGGGGGCGUUGGAAAGUUUCGGCGGUUGGGGAUCGACUCGCGGCUUCUCCGCUUGUUGGUGGGGUAGGGGAAGACCAAGGCUUUGACGGGUAGCAGGCAUUAGAGGUUGACCAGCCUCAAUGGGACUGAGACAAGGCCCAGACUACAACGGGAGGCAGCAGUCGGGAAUAUUGCAGAAUGGGCCGAAGCCUGUUGCAGCAGUGCCGGGAGCGGGAAGACGGCCUUCGAGUUGAAAACCAAUUUCGCCUGUAACGAAGAGGGCGUGACGGUAACGGGUAAAGAAGCACCGGCUAACUACGUG